AGAGUUUGAUCAUGGCUCAGGACGAACGCUGGCGGCGUGCUUAACACAUGCAAGUCGAGCGGAAAGGCCCUUCGGGGUACUCGAGCGGCGAACGGGUGAGUAACACGUGAGCAACCUGCCCCUAGCUUCGGGAUAGCUCCGGGAAACCGGAAUUAAUACCGGAUAUGACCACGGUCGACAUCAACCGUGGUGGAAAGUUU
rnacentral:rRNA from 1 species